GGACGGGUGAGUAACGCGUGAGGAACCUGCCUUGAAGAGGGGGACAACAGUUGGAAACGACUGCUAAUACCGCAUGACGCAUAGAGGUCGCAUGAUUUUUAUGCCAAAGAUUUAUCGCUUCAAGAUGGCCUCGCGUCUGAUUAGCUGGUUGGCGGGGUAACGGCCCACCAAGGCGACGAUCAGUAGCCGGACUGAGAGGUUGAACGGCCACAUUGGGACUGAGAUACGGCCCAGACUCCUACGGGAGGCAGCAGUGGGGAAUAUUGGGCAAUGGGCGCAAGCCUGACCCAGCAACGCCGCGUGAAGGAAGAAGGCUUUCGGGUUGUAAACUUCUUUUAAGAGGGAAGAGCAGAAGACGGUACCUCUAGAAUAAGCCACGGCUAACUACGUGCCAGCAGCCGCGGUAAUACGUAGGUGGCAAGCGUUGUCCGGAUUUACUGGGUGUAAAGGGCGUGCAGCCGGGUCUGCAAGCCAGAUGUGAAAUCCAUGGGCUCAACCCAUGAACUGCAUUUGAAACUGUAGAUCUUGAGUGUCGGAGGGGCAAUCGGAAUUCCUAGUGUAGCGGUGAAAUGCGUAGAUAUUAGGAGGAACACCAGUGGCGAAGGCGGAUUGCUGGACGAUAACUGACGGUGAGGCGCGAAAGUGUGGGGAGCAAACAGGAUUAGAUACCCUGGUAGUCCACACUGUAA
rnacentral:rRNA from 1 species